rnacentral:rRNA from 1 species
UACGUAGGCAGCAAGCGUUGUCCGGAUUUAUUGGGCGUAAAGAGCGUGUAGGCGGCCAGAUAGGUCAGCUGUGAAAACUCGAGGCUCAACCUCGAGACGUCGGUUGAAACCGUACGGCUAGAGUCCGGAAGAGGAGAGUGGAAUUCCCGGUGUAGCGGUGAAAUGCGCAGAUAUCGGGAAGAACACCCGUGGCGAAGGCGGCUCUCUGGGACGGUACUGACGCUGAGACGCGAAAGCGUGGGGAGCGAACAGG